GAUGAACGCUGGCGGCGUGCCUAAUACAUGCAAGUCGAGCGAUCAGACGAGGAGCUUGCUCCUCUGACGUUAGCGGCGGACGGGUGAGUAACACGUGGAUAACCUACCUAUAAGACUGGGAUAACUUCGGGAAACCGGAGCUAAUACCGGAUAAUAUAUUGAACCGCAUGGUUCAAUAGUGAAAGACGGUUUUGCUGUCACUUAUAGAUGGAUCCGCGCCGCAUUAGCUAGUUGGUAAGGUAACGGCUUACCAAGGCAACGAUGCGUAGCCGACCUGAGAGGGUGAUCGGCCACACUGGAACUGAGACACGGUCCAGACUCCUACGGGAGGCAGCAGUAGGGAAUCUUCCGCAAUGGGCGAAAGCCUGACGGAGCAACGCCGCGUGAGUGAUGAAGGUCUUCGGAUCGUAAAACUCUGUUAUUAGGGGAGAACAAAUGUGUAAGUAACUAUGCACGUCUUGACGGUACCUAAUCAGAAAGCCACGGCUAACUACGUG
rnacentral:rRNA from 1 species